rnacentral:rRNA from 1 species
GAUGAACGCUGGCGGCGUGCCUAAUACAUGCAAGUCGAGCGAACAGAUGAGGAGCUUGCUCCUCUGACGUUAGCGGCGGACGGGUGAGUAACACGUGGAUAACCUACCUAUAAGACUGGGAUAACUUCGGGAAACCGGAGCUAAUACCGGAUAAUAUAUUGAACCGCAUGGUUCAAUAGUGAAAGACGGUUUUGCUGUCACUUAUAGAUGGAUCCGCGCCGCAUUAGCUAGUUGGUAAGGUAACGGCUUACCAAGGCAACGAUGCGUAGCCGACCUGAGAGGGUGAACCGCCCCACCGGGACUUGGACCCGGUCCCGACCCCCAAGGGAGGCCGCAGUAGGGAAUUCUUCCGCAUUGGGCGAAAGCCUGACGAGCCACCCCCGCUGGGUUAAUAAGGGUCUUCGAUUCGUAAACCUCUGUUUUUGGGAAAGAACAAAUGUGUAGGUAACUAGCCCCGUCUGACGGUACCUAAUCAGAAAGCCACGGCUAACUACGUG